UCAUUUUUAUUUCAAAAUCGUUUUGAAUCAGCAAAUUUUUUAAUCACGGGGAAUAUUAUUCCAAUGUGUAUGAGGCUCCUUUCGGUUGUAAUUGAAGCACACCUCUUGCCGAAGCCGAAAUGCCGAAUUAUUUCUUCGGAAUACGAAGAGCUAAAUCAGUUCCUUUAUUUCUGAAAUUGUAAUUUUUUUCUCUUUCCUUAUUGGAAAUAAAAACUGCUUUUAUAGUUUGGGUGCGGUGUGACCAUUUAGAAUUUUAUACAUAAAAA
rnacentral:lncRNA from 1 species